rnacentral:rRNA from 1 species
GACAGAGGCCACAAGCGUUAGGCGGAAUCACUGGGCUUAAAGCGUGUGUAGGUGGAUGUCUAAGUACCUUGUGAAAUCCCACGGCUCACCCGUGGAACUGCUUGGUAUACUGGAUGUCUUGAGCUAUCUAGGGGCAGCUGGAACGAACGGUGGAGCGGUGAAAUGCGUAGAUAUCGUUCGGAACGCCAAUGGUGAAAACAGGCUGCUGGGGAUAUGCUGACACUGAGACACGAAAGCCAGGGGAGCAAACGGG